ACUGUGGUAGUCUCAGAAGACAUCCCAUUUCGACCCAGAAGAACUUAUUAAUUUAAGCCUCAGUA
rnacentral:tRNA from 1 species